rnacentral:siRNA from 1 species
GCCGUCUUAGCUCAGUGG